rnacentral:hammerhead_ribozyme from 1 species
UCACUACUGAAGAGUUCCACAAUAGGACGAAAUGGCCGUCCAGUGC